GACGAACGCUGGCGGCGUGCUUAACACAUGCAAGUCGACCGGAGUGGCGAACGGGUGAGUAACACGUGGGUGAUCUGCCUUGCACUUCGGGAUAAGCUUGGGAAACUGGGUCUAAUACCGGAUAGUGCACGAUUGGCUCUCGGCCUAUCAGCUUGUUGGGGGGGUAAUGGCCUACCCAGGCGUCGACUGGUAGCCGGCCUGGGAGGGUGUACGGCCACAUGGGGCCUGCGAUACGCACCAGUCGCCUACGGUGGGCAGUGGUGGCGAGUCUGGCACAAUGGGCGGAAGCGUGUGGCGGCGGCGCCGCGGGUGGGAUGUAGGUUUUCGGGUUGUAAAGUCCUUGCGACAGGGACGCGUUACCUGUAUAAGAAGCACCGGCUAACUACGUGCCAGCAGCCGCGGUAAUUC
rnacentral:rRNA from 1 species